UCAAGGUGACGUCUUUCACACGCACACACGCACACAAACACACACACUCAUGCACACACACACACGCACGCACGCACACACUCAUGCAAACACUCAUGCACUCACACACACACGCACGCACAAACACACUCUCUCACACACACACUCACUCACACGCAUGCACGCGCACACACACACACCCACACAAACACACACGCACGCAUGCACACACUCAUGCACACACACGCACACACUCAUGCACACACACACACGCAUGCACACGCACACACUCAUGCACACACUCAUGCACUCACACACACACACGCACGCACAAACACACUCUCUCACACACACACACACACACUCACUCACGCACGCACGCGCACACACACACGCACACACUCAUGCACACACACGCACGCACAAACACACUCUCUCACACACACACACACACGCACGCAUGCACACACUCAUGCACACACACACACACAUGCACUCACACACACACGCACGCACAAACACACGCUCUCACACACACACUCACUCACACGCAGGCACGCGCACACGCACACACUCAUGCACACACACACGCACGCAUGCACACACUCAUGCACACACUCACACGCACACACACAUACACACUCACGCGCACACACUCAUGCACACACACACACACACACACGCGCACAAACACACUCUCUCACACACACACUCACUCACACGCACACACACACGCACACACUCAUGCACACACACGCACGCACGCAUGCACACACUCAUGCACACACACACACACGCACACAAACACACACACUCAUGCACACACACGCACGCACGCACACACUCAUGCACUCACACACACACGCACGCACAAACACACUCUCACACACACACUCACUCACACGCACGCACGCGCACACACACACACACGCGCACACACUCAUGCACACACACAGACGCACGCAUGCACACACUCAUGCACACACACACACGCACGCAUGCAUGCACACACUCAUGCACACACACACACACACACGCACACACUCAUACACACACACGCACGCAUGCACACACUCAUGCACACACACACGCACGCAUGCACACACUCACACACACACACACACGCACACACUCACGCACACACACGCACGCACGCACACACUCAUGCACUCACACACACACACGCACGCACAAACACACUCUCUCACACGCACACUCACUCACACGCACGCACGCGCACGCACACUCUCACACACACACACACGUACAUACACACAAACACACUCUCUCACACACAUGCACACACACUCAUGCACACACACACACGCACACGCACUCACACACACACGCACAUACACACAAACACACUCUCUCACACUCACACGCACACUUACACACACACGCACAUACACAUUCAUGCACACACACACACGCACAUACACAUUCAUGCACACACACUCACACACACACACACGCACACUCACGCGCACACACACUCACGCGCACACACACACUCACGCACACACUCACUCAUGCGCACACACUCAUGCACACACACACACACACACUCACACGCACACUCACACACACACACGCACAUACACACAAACACACUCUCUCACACUCACACGCACACUCACACACACGCACAUACACACUCAUGCACACACACACGCGCACACACUCAUGCACACACACGCACACACACACUCACGUGCACACACACACUCACUCACGCACACACACUCACGCACACACACACACACACACACACACACUUAACUGAAGGACUUUAAUGCAUGAACUGUGCCUUGUAAUGCAAUUUAUAAUGGUUUUAUGAUCUAUAACCAUAGUUAUAAUACUUCUAUAUAAUCUU
ensembl:lncRNA